rnacentral:lncRNA from 1 species
CAGAGAGCAAAUUAGAAUCCAAGGAAGUUGACAUGUCAUCACUUCAUUUUUUUGCGCCUGCGCAUAAAUCUGAGAAACGUGAGUUUGUCAUCAUUUUUUAUCUAGACAUAGGAUAGGUUGUGUGAAAAUAUUACUGAUAUUUAACGUUAAAAAUGGACCAAAAGAUUAAUGCUAAACAACAUUUGACAUGUUUGAACGAACAUAAAUAGAUUAUUUACUAGUUUUUUUUAGCUUUUCGGCGUGAUUUUACCAGCCCCCCUCCACGUUUUGUGGGAGCAUAAUGAACGCUAAGUACUUGGUGUUAUUUGGACAUAAAUUAUGAACUUUGUCAAAAGAAACCACAUUUGUUCCGGACAUGGAAUGCCUUCCGGACCUGGGAUCCUGCCUUCUGAUGGAGAUAAUCAAAGAGCAUUUGCUGUAAAGCUUGGAAAUAGGAAUCUUUGGUAGAAGGAAUCCUUCCAGGCUGUCAAUCUCCUGAGCUUCAGACAUUAGUGGGACCAGCGGAGGGACUAGCAGAGCACACUGGGGACUCUCUCUCUCUCUGUCUUAAUACACCUCCACCUCCACUACCCCCCAUCUCCCGGAGGACUCCCAGCCAGCACAAUGAGUCUUAUUCUCUGUUUAGACCAAGGAGAUCAGACAGUACCCGUCAAAAGUUUGGACACACCUACUCAUUCCCAGAUUCUUCAAAGUAGCCACCCUUUGCCUUGAUGACAGCGUUGCACACUUUUGGCAUUCCCUCAACCAGCUUCACCUGGAAUGCUUUUCCAGCUGUCUUGAAGAAGUUCCCACACAUGCUGAGCACUUGUGGCUGCUUUUCCUUCACUCUGUGGUCCAACUCAUCUAAUCUGGUUUGAGGUCGGGUGAUUGUGGUCAUCUGAUGCAGCACUCUAUCACUCUCAGCCUGGAGGUGUGUUUGGUCAUUGUCCUGUUGAAAAAUAAAUCAUAUGUGUUAUUUCAAAGUUAUGAUGUCUUCACUAUUAUUCUACAAUGUAGAAAAUAGUACAAAUAAAGAAAAACCCUUGAAUGAGUAGGUGUUUCCAAACUUUUGACUGGUACAAUAUAUGAUCUUCUAAUCAGCGAUGACUAAAUCACAAUAAUCUCAUCUAAAAAUGAAAAGUUUGAUACACCUGAAGUUCAUCAUCAUCAGAUAAGAAAACUUCACACACAGGAGAACAAAUCUCCAUCAGAUGCAAAACAAGGUGCAUUGUGGGUUAGCAGCUGCGGUGCUGGAAGUGUGAGUAGGGAGAUUAAUAAUAACAUUUCAAGAAUACAAUUAAUAACCUUC